UAGGGAAUUUUCGUCAAUGGGCGCAAGCCUGAACGAGCGAUGCCGCGUGAGUGAAGAAGGCCUUCGGGUCGUAAAGCUCUGUUGCGGGGGAAAAAGGGCAGCAUCAGGAAAUGGGUGCUGACUGAUGGUGCCCCGCCAGAAAGUCACGGCUAACUACGUGCC
rnacentral:rRNA from 1 species